GGCCGCGGGAAUUCGAUUCAGGCCUAACACAUGCAAGUCGAACGGCAGCACGGACUUCGGUCUGGUGGCGAGUGGCGAACGGGUGAGUAAUAUAUCGGAACAUACCCAGUAGUGGGGGAUAACUAUCCGAAAGGAUAGCUAAUACCGCAUACGAUCUGUGGAUGAAAGCAGGGGAUCUUCGGACCUUGUGCUAUUGGAAUGGCCGAUAUCUGAUUAGCUAGUUGGUAGGGUAAAAGCCUACCAAGGCGACGAUCAGUAGCUGGUCUGAGAGGACGACCAGCCACACUGGAACUGAGACACGGUCCAGACUCCUACGGGAGGCAGCAGUGGGGAAUUUUGGACAAUGGGGGCAACCCUGAUCCAGCAAGGCCGCGUGAGUGAAGAAGGCCCUCGGGUUGUAAAUUUAGGGGUCAGGGAAGAAACGGAGUUCUCUAAUAUAGGAUUCUAAUGACGGUA
rnacentral:rRNA from 1 species